UCCAGGUAUGAAUGGUUACAGAUAAUUGUAGAACAGGGCAUGCCCAAAAAGACAAAUAUCGGACUAAUCGGGCAUGCACAAGUCAUCAAGUUUUAUAAGUUCUGAGCACUAUUAGCAAAAUGCUGCAAACAUUGUAUUACAUGAUUAAUUUUAGUAAAAUCAUUGAUAUUCAAUUUCAUAAUUUUACACCUUCUUGCAUGAUUAUGCAUGGCUUUAAUUCAAGCGCACAGUUUUACAACUUCUUGCAUGAUUAUGCAUGGCUUUAGUUCAUGUGCACAGUUUUACAACUUCUUGAAUGAUUAUGCAUGGCUUUAAUUCAAGUGCACAGUUUAUCAAACUUUGGUAAAACUGCGCAUUCCAUAUUUAUAUAAGGAAUGCACAGUUUUACAAUCUAGGCUUCAUUGUUUUAC
rnacentral:lncRNA from 1 species